ACCUCUGAGUGAUAACGCAGCUGCAGCACCUCUUCUACUGCAUCAGCCUGAAGAUGUCCUCAGAUAUUCAUGCCAAACCAGAUUUCUCCAAGAAGGUCAGAUAAAACAGAAAGCGACAAGAAGACACAUCAGACUGGAAGGAGUGUGAGGUGGAAAUCUACAACGACGCAUUUGAAUCUGUGGAGGACACCACCGGAGUUCAGUCUCCAGAACAAGGUAAGAAUGAACUCAAUAUUCUGCAUCAUGAUCAACAGUUCUGAUAAUAGAUCUAAUAAUACUUUUUCUUGGUCAUCUGAUAUCUACAUUUGGGAAGAUUGAUAAAACACAUAGAGCCUCUUAAUCUAGUGUCAUGUCAGGAAAAGGAAUUUAUUUUACUAUUUAUAAGAUCACCUCAUUAAAAAUAAAAAUGUAAAAAACCUAAAUAUAAUAUAUUCAUUUAAUAAAGAAGUUGAUUGUUCAUGAAUAUUUGUAUUGAAGUUCUUCCAGUGGUUGUAUUGAAUUGAAUGGGAGUCUCUCUGCAGCAUCAGUGCAUGAAAGAGUGAAUGACAUGAGUGGAGUUUGUUCUGCUGCUACUUCCUGAAUGUUUGCAGUUCAGAGCUGACUGCUUUCAUCAGGAAACAGUGAAGUCUGCUCAGUUAGUUUGAUCUCUAAAGAUGUCCACACAAACUGAAGCUGCAGCAGAUUGGAGAGUGAAAUUUAGCAGAAAUCUUCAUCCAGAUGGAAGAGAACAAAGUGAGGUGGAGAUGUUAGAUGAUGAAGAGCAGCACUCUGAUCAUGGAUUACAACAAACUGGAAAUCAGAAGCAGAAGAAUCUUCAAGCUGAGAGAAGAAACUGUUUCAGAGUUUUCAAGUUUUCUCUGGGAGUUUUCUGUUUUCUGAUUCUGGCUGGACUCAUGACUCGCCAUGUAUUUCUGUCUUUGGGAAACAACAAACUGCUGACUGAACUUUCAGAAUUGAUGUCAACUUUCUCAGCCAACAACAGUCGUUUUCAGGAGUAAAUGAAGCAGCUGAAAGAUGAAAAUGAAGGUCAGAAAAGAUCAAGAAAAACUAACAAUAAAAGGAGUCCUUUUUCACUUCUCCAUUUUAAACUGAGUUUUAGGUCUUUGUUGAUAUGAUAAAAAAGAGAACAGGUAUUUAUAGAUGAAGUAAAAAAGCGGAACAUGGCGUAGGAAGAACGGGCUUGGCGUGGUUGCUGGAUGUACUCAGAGCGUGGUUGUAACUUGGAGCAAGGAGAUGAUCUUGAGGAUGAAGAUCUUGUGACUGGACCCAGGUCGGCACUGGUCGAUGAAAGAUCUCAUUGUGGGCACAAACUGGCGAUGAAUACGGAACUGGAGCCAUCUUAAAUACAGGAGCAGGAGAUGAGGUAAAUGCCGACAGCUGGGUCCAAUCUGGAAUGAAGCAGAGAAGGGAGGGGGGAGGAGAGGACUCCCUGAGACACCAUGACACAGUGUUUUGCCAAAGGACACUUGAACACAUGUGCAGGCAGAUUGGGAAUCAAACCUGCCUAAACUGCUCCCCCUCUGCAUCAUGACCAACCCCCCCUCUAAAGUGAAGAUUGCUACGUAUCUGUUGAAGGCCAUGUGAUUGUUAAUUUAAGUGCAAAUCAAUAAUAAAUGGACUUCUACUGUCUUUCAAGCAUCAACAAAACUCUUUGGGAUGAAAUAAAACAGCUGAAAAAUCAGAUUGAAGAGAAACGGUGUCCUGAAGGAUGGAAGAGAUUUGGAAACAGCUGCUACUAUAAAUCUACUGAGCAGAAAACUUGGACUGACAGCAGGAGUUUCUGUCAGUUUGUAGGAUCUGAUCUGGUGGUGGUAAACAGCAAAGAGGAACAGGAGUUUGUUUCUACAUUGAAUCAGAAUUCAGAAUCCUGGAUCGGUCUGUUUGCUGAAGGGUCACCACAGAAACAGAAAUCUGAAUGGAAAUGGGUGGAUGGAUCACCACUGACAGAAACGUUCUGGGAUGAGACGAUUUCCAAAGAUCCGUACUACAACUACUAUGCAGUGUUCUUAAGUGCUGACGGGAAAUGGACAGAAAAGAACAAAACAUACAACAAAAACUGGAUCUGUGAGAAAUAAAAUUCUGGAUCUUUCUGUUUCUGA